UACGAAGGGGGCUAGCGUUGCUCGGAAUUACUGGGCGUAAAGCGCACGUAGGCGGAUAUUUAAGUCAGGGGUGAAAUCCCAGAGCUCAACUCUGGAACUGCCUUUGAUACUGGGUAUCUCGAGUAUGGAAGAGGUGAGUGGAAUUCCGAGUGUAGAGGUGAAAUUCGUAGAUAUUCGGAGGAACACCAGUGGCGAAGGCGGCUCACUGGUCCAUUACUGACGCUGAGGUGCGAAAGCGUGGGGAGCAAACAGG
rnacentral:rRNA from 1 species